CGAUCAUACACUGCAAAUCAUUAUUAAAAAUAUCCAAUCCAACAUCAGACAAAUGUAUACCAUCUUUCAAAUACAACCCUUCACACUGACCCUCGAUAUUCACAUGGCGAAAAGAAAAACCACCAAUUGAUGGCAUAAAUUUCUCCAUGGCUUUGUUAAGCUUACGCCUAACUCUUUCUAGCGCUUUAAGUUUUGCAUUGCGCAACCAAAUUAAUCUUGGGAUUAUUUC